CGCGGCCUAUCAGCUUGUUGGUGGGGUAAUGGCCUACCAAGGCGACGACGGGUAGCCGGCCUGAGAGGGCGACCGGCCACACUGGGACUGAGACACGGCCCAGACUCCUACGGGAGGCAGCAGUGGGGAAUAUUGCACAAUGGGCGGAAGCCUGAUGCAGCGACGCCGCGUGAGGGAUGACGGCCUUCGGGUUGUAAACCUCUUUCAGCACCGACGAAGCCUUUCGGGGUGACGGUAGGUGCAGAAGAAGCGCCGGCCAACCACGUGCCAGCAGCCGCGGUAAGACGUAGGGCGCGAGCGUUGUCCGGAUUUAUUGGGCGUAAAGAGCUCGUAGGCGGCUUGUCGCGUCGUCCGUGAAAACCUGCGGCUCAACUGCAGGCUUGCGGUCGAUACGGGCAGGCUGGAGUUCGGUAGGGGAGACUGGAAUUCCUGGUGUAGCGGUGAAAUGCGCAGAUAUCAGGAGGAACACCGGUGGCGAAGGCGGGUCUCUGGGCCGAUACUGACGCUGAGGAGCGAAAGCGUGGGGAGCGAACAGGAUUAGAUACCCUGGUAGUCCACGCUGUAAACGUUGGGCGCUAGGUGUGGGGGGCCUCUCCGGUUCUCUGUGCCGCAGCUAACGCAUUAAGCGCCCCGCCUGGGGAGUACGGA
rnacentral:rRNA from 1 species